AACGAACGCUGGCGGCAUGCCUAACACAUGCAAGUCGAACGAUUGCCUUCGGGUGAUAGUGGCGCACGGGUGCGUAACGCGUGGGAAUCUGCCCUUAGGUUCGGAAUAACAGCUGGAAACGGCUGCUAAUACCGGAUGAUAUCGCGAGAUCAAAGAUUUAUCGCCUGAGGAUGAGCCCGCGUUGGAUUAGGUAGUUGGUGGGGUAAAGGCCUACCAAGCCGACGAUCCAUAGCUGGUCUGAGAGGAUGAUCAGCCACACUGGGACUGAGACACGGCCCAGAAUCCUACGGGAGGCAGCAGUGGGGAAUAUUGGACAAUGGGCGCAAGCCUGAUCCAGCAAUGCCGCGUGAGUGAUGAAGGCCCUAGGGUUGUAAAGCUCUUUUACCCGGGAAGAUAAUGACUGUACCGGGAGAAUAAGCCCCGGCUAACUCCGUG
rnacentral:rRNA from 1 species